AGUGAACGCUGGCGGUAGGCCUAACACAUGCGAGUCGAACGGCAGCACAGUAAGAGCUUGCUCUUACGGGUGGCGAGUGGCGGACGGGUGAGGAAUACAUCGGAAUCUACUUUUUCGUGGGGGAUAACGUAGGGAAACUUACGCUAAUACCGCAUACGACCUACGGGUGAAAGCAGGGGAUCUUCGGACCUUGCGCGAUUGAAUGAGCCGAUGUCGGAUUAGCUAGUUGGCGGGGUAAAGGCCCACCAAGGCGACGAUCCGUAGCUGGUCUGAGAGGAUGAUCCGCCACACUGGAACUGAGACACGGUCCAGACUCCUACGGGAGGCAGCAGUGGGGAAUAUUGGACAAUGGGCGCAAGCCUGAUCCAGCCAUACCGCGUGGGUGAAGAAGGCCUUCGGGUUGUAAAGCCCUUUUGUUGGGAAAGAAAAGCAGCAGGUUAAUACCCCGCUGUCCUGACGGUACCCAAAGAAUAAGCACCGGCUAACUUCGUG
rnacentral:rRNA from 1 species